rnacentral:rRNA from 1 species
CCUACGGGAGGCAGCAGUGAGGAAUAUUGGUCAAUGGGCGUAAGCCUGAACCAGCCAAGUCGCGUGAGGGAUGAAGGUUCUAUGGAUCGUAAACCUCUUUUAUAAGGGAAUAAAGUGCGGGACGUGUCCCGCUUUGUAUGUACCUUAUGAAUAAGGACCGGCUAACUCCGUGCCAGCAGCCGCGGUAAUACGGAGGUUCCGAGCGUUAUCCGGAUUUAUUGGGUUUAAAGGGUGCGUAGGCGGCCUUUUAAGUCAGCGGUGAAAGUCUGUGGCUCAACCCUAGGAUUGCCGUUGAAACUGGGAGGGUUGAGUAUGGUUGAGGCAGGCGGAAUGCGGGGUGUAGCGGUGAAAUGCUUAGA